rnacentral:misc_RNA from 1 species
UGGACCCAUUUAAUGUUCCAAAAGAAGUUUCACUUGCAGAUGCAAAAAUAUUGGGAAGUACUCGCCGCCUCAGGGAUGAAAAUGCAGGCACCGCUUCUUUAGAGGAAAGGUUCUUUAAUUCUUCUGAUGGGAAACCCCGAUUGCGAUAUGAACAUGAGAUGCUUUUACAAAACAAAGACCGAAAUGGGGAUCUCCUUGCACCACAAGAACAAAAUUUACUUGUGACGGCAUCUUUAAUGGUGGAAUUCGAUGAAGCCCAG